rnacentral:rRNA from 1 species
AGUGAACGCUGGCGGUAGGCCUAACACAUGCAAGUCGAACGGCAGCACAGUAAGAGCUUGCUCUUACGGGUGGCGAGUGGCGGACGGGUGAGGAAUACAUCGGAAUCUACUUUUUCGUGGGGGAUAACGUAGGGAAACUUACGCUAAUACCGCAUACGACCUACGGGUGAAAGCAGGGGAUCUUCGGACCUUGCGCGAUUGAAUGAGCCGAUGUCGGAUUAGCUGGUUGGCGGGGUAAAGGCCCACCAAGGCGACGAUCCGUAGCUGGUCUGAGAGGAUGAUCCGCCACACUGGAACUGAGACACGGUCCAGACUCCUACGGGAGGCAGCAGUGGGGAAUAUUGGACAAUGGGCGCAAGCCUGAUCCAGCCAUACCGCGUGGGUGAAGAAGGCCUUCGGGUUGUAAAGCCCUUUUGUUGGGAAAGAAAAGCAGCAGGUUAAUACCCCGCUGUUCUGACGGUACCCAAAGAAUAAGCACCGGCUAACUUCGUG